GUCAAACAAAUCGAUUUGAGAGUCAGUCUAUCGCCAAAAAUCGAAAAAGGCGCGAUCCCCAGUCGAUAAACGAACACACAUAUAUGCAAUGCUAUAUAUAACGAAAGCCAAAGCGCAAUGAAAUGCGUAUGCGUAUUGUUCAUAAAAUCUAGGGCAUCAGUGAGUCCUGAAAACGAACCGAUACGAGUCGACGAAUCGCCAGAACUAAUCAAAAAUGCAUAUAUAACUAUUAUCUCUCUCUUUCUCUUUCUUCUAUAUCUCUUUUUUUUAGUUAUCGUAAGCGUUUUUCUACCUUUUAAGUUUUUUCCGCCUAAGACUAAGUUUAAUCGAGAUCGAGGUUCGGGUAUUCGAGAUCGAGAGAGAGAUGACCAAUUAGAUAACUCCACUACUACUCUACUACUACCAAUCUACUACUACUACUACUACCAAUCAGCCACAAAACAGCCCAACCAGAACAUCGACAUUAAUCCGCUUCUAACCACCGCCACCACGUCGUCGCGUGCCGCCAGCCGGGGGACUGAUCCGGAUACCGAUCCUGAUCCUGAUCCUGAUUCUGAUUCUGGCUCCGGUCCUGUCCUGGUUGCAUUUACAUUAAGUACCAAUGAUUUUGUGUUUUGCCAUAGCUAGUUCAGCCGUCAAUCGACCGUCCGUCCUGUGAAAUCCGAGUGUGAAGUAUUUGGGGUACUGGAAACUCGCAUAACCCAUCGCCCGUCGAUCGCCCGAUCUUCCAGAUCACCCAUCCAUCCGCAUCUAGUAGCUUAUUAACUUUUGACCCUCGAGUCGAGCUCUCGGCGAGCUUUGGUCAUCGUAAAACCAAUGCAAUAAACGAAAGUAGUUAACAACUUUGUUGUAGGUAGGGCGGUAGAGAACCUAACCAACUUAAACAUAUUGUUGCUCUUAUUAUCGUUUCAGCGUCUUGUUUUCUUUUUUUUAUUUUUCUCUUUUUAUCACUGAGCAAUGUAAAAUGUGUGUGACCCUUCUUCAAGUCAGUUACCACGCCCCCAACUCAUGGAAAUCGAAUACGAAUACGAAAACCGCACCUAAGCCUUGACAAAUAAAUGACAAAAACUCAAGCCCCUCUGCAUAAACGAUAGACUCAUAAGACUCUCAUCCAACG